rnacentral:rRNA from 1 species
AAACUUGAGAGUUUGAUCAUGGCUCAGAACGUACGCUGGCGGCACGCCUAACACAUGCAAGUCGAACGAAGUAGCAAUACUUAGUGGCAGACGGGUGAGUAACAUGUGGGUAUCUGCCCUUUGGCCUGGAAUAACACGAGGAAACUUGUGCUAAUACUGGAUAAGUCUUUACGGAGAAAGCUUUAUGCACCAUUGGAUGAGCCCGCACUUGAUUAGUUUGUUGGUGGGGUAAUGGCCUACCAAGACUUUGAUCAAUAGCUGAUUUGAGAGGAUGAUCAGCCACAUUGGGACUGAGACACGGCCCAAACUCCUACGGGAGGCAGCAGUGGGGAAUCUUGCACAAUGGAGGAAACUCUGAUGCAGCGAUGCCGCGUGAGUGAAGAAGGCCCUUGGGUUGUAAAGCUCUUUCGUCGGGGAAGAAAAUGACUGUACCCGAAUAAGAAGGUCCGGCUAACUUCGUGCCAGCAGCCGCGGUAAUACGAAGGGACCUAGCGUAGUUCGGAAUUACUGGGCUUAAAGAGUUCGUAGGUGGUUGAAAAAGUUGGUGGUGAAAUCCCAGAGCUUAACUCUGGAACUGCCAUCAAAACUUUUCAGCUAGAGUUUGAUAGAGGAAAGCAGAAUUUCUAGUGUAGAGGUGAAAUUCGUAGAUAUUAGAAAGAAUACCAAUUGCGAAGGCAGCUUUCUGGAUCAUUACUGACGCUGAGGAACGAAAGCAUGGGUAGCGAAGAGGAUUAGAUACCCUCGUAGUCCAUGCCGUAAACGAUGUGUGUUAGACGUUGGAAAUUUAUUUUCAGUGUCGCAGCGAAAGCGAUAAACACACCGCCUGGGGAGUACGACCGCAAGGUUAAAACUCAAAUGAAUUGACGGGGACCCGCACAAGUAGUGGAGCAUGUGGUUUAAUUCGAAGAUACGCGCAGAACCUUACCAACACUUGACAUGUUCGUCGCGACUUUAAGAGAUUAAAGUUUUCGGUUCGGCCGGACGAAACACAGGUGCUGCAUGGCUGUCGUCAGCUCGUGUCGUGAGAUGUUGGGUUAAGUCCCGCAACGAGCGCAACCCUCACUUUUAGUUGCCAUCAUUAAGUUGGGCACUCUGAAAGAACUGCCAGUGAUAAGCUGGAGGAAGGUGGGGAUGACGUCAAGUCCUCAUGGCCCUUACGUGUUGGGCUACACACGUGCUACAAUGGUAUCUACAACAGGAAGCGAAACAGCGAUGUUAAGCAAAUCCUUAAAAGAUACCUCAGUUCGGAUUGCACUCUGCAACUCGAGUGCAUGAAGCUGGAAUUACUAGUAAUCGUGGAUCAGCGUGCCACGGUGAAUGCGUUCCCGGGUCUUGUACACACCGCCCGUCACACCAUGGGAGUUGGUUCUACCUUAAGGCAAGGUUUAAUACCCUUGACCACGGUAUAGUCAGCGACUGGGGUGAAGUCGUAACAAGGUAGCCGUAGGGGAACCUGCGGCUGGAUUACCUCCUUU